GUGAGGCUGUGUUCAGGAAUGCAUUCUUCCUCACCUCAGUUCCACACACAGCUGAGAGCUCCAGGCACUGAACAAAGAUGGAAACUGCCCUGGAGAUGCCUACAUCUGGCUACAUCAUCCCCUUUGCUCCUGUAUCUUCAGUUCUCCCUCUCUCAGCUCGGUCCCAUCAGCAUCUAAACUAAUUAUCUCUUCUAUCUUUGAUAACAUAAAAUACAAUUUGGGCCGGGCACUGUGGCUCACGCCUGCAAUCCCAGCACUUUGGGAGGCCGAGGCUGGUGGGUAGCAGUGUCAGUGGAUGGGUAGGUGGUGGGUGAACAGUGCUUUGAACAGAGGGGACAAGGCAUCUGAAAAAGCUCACAGAACAUGGACCACUGGGAAGAAUGGCUUUGAACUUAAUUCUGAAGAUAGCAGGA
rnacentral:lncRNA from 1 species